UCAUCUUCGGGGGUAGAGCACUGUUUCGGCUAGGGGGUCAUCCCGACUUACCAACCCGAUGCAAACUACGAAUACCGAAGAAUGUUAUCACGGGAGACACACGGCGGGUGCUAACGUCCGUCGUGAAGAGGGAAACAACCCAGACCGCCAGCUAAGGUCCCAAAGUCAUGGUUAAGUGGGAAACGAUGUGGGAAGGCACAGACAGCCAGGAUGUUGGCUUAGAAGCAGCCAUCAUUUAAAGAAAGCGUAAUAGCUCACUGGUCGAGUCGGCCUGCGCGGAAGAUGUAACGGGGCUAAACCAUGCACCGAAGCUGCGGCAGCGACACUAUGUGUUGUUGGGUAGGGGAGCGUUCUGUAAGCCUGCGAAGGUGUGCUGUGAGGCAUGCUGGAGGUAUCAGAAGUGCGAAUGCUGACAUAAGUAACGAUAAAGCGGGUGAAAAGCCCGCUCGCCGGAAGACCAAGGGUUCCUGUCCAACGUUAAUCGGGGCAGGGUGAGUCGACCCCUAAGGCGAGGCCGAAAGGCGUAGUCGAUGGGAAACAGGUUAAUAUUCCUGUACUUGGUGUUACUGCGAAGGGGGGACGGAGAAGGCUAUGUUAGCCGGGCGACGGUUGUCCCGGUUUAAGCAUGUAGGCUGGUUGUCCAGGCAAAUCCGGAUAAUCAAGGCUGAGGUGUGAUGACGAGGCACUACGGUGCUGAAGUAACAAAUGCCCUGCUUCCAGGAAAAGCCUCUAAGCAUCAGGUAACAUCAAAUCGUACCCCAAACCGACACAGGUGGUCAGGUAGAGAAUACCAAGGCGCUUGAGAGAACUCGGGUGAAGGAACUAGGCAAAAUGGUGCCGUAACUUCGGGAGAAGGCACGCUGGUGUGUAGGUGAAGUCCCUGCGGAUGGAGCUGAGACCAGUCGAAGAUACCAGCUGGCUGCAACUGUUUAUUAAAAACACAGCACUGUGCAAACACGAAAGUGGACGUAUACGGUGUGACGCCUGCCCGGUGCCGGAAGGUUAAUUGAUGGGGUUAUCCGUAAGGAGAAGCUCUUGAUCGAAGCCCCGGUAAACGGCGGCCGUAACUAUAACGGUCCUAAGGUAGCGAAAUUCCUUGUCGGGUAAGUUCCGACCUGCACGAAUGGCGUAAUGAUGGCCAGGCUGUCUCCACCCGAGACUCAGUGAAAUUGAACUCGCUGUGAAGAUGCAGUGUACCCGCGGCAAGACGGAAAGACCCCGUGAACCUUUACUAUAGCUUGACACUGAACAUUGAGCCUUGAUGUGUAGGAUAGGUGGGAGGCUUUGAAGCGUGGACGCCAGUCUGCGUGGAGCCAACCUUGAAAUACCACCCUUUAAUGUUUGAUGUUCUAACGUUGGCCCCUUACCGGGGUUGCGGACAGUGUCUGGUGGGUAGUUUGACUGGGGCGGUCUCCUCCCAAAGCGUAACGGAGGAGCACGAAGGUUAGCUAAUCCUGGUCGGACAUCAGGAGGUUAGUGCAAUGGCAUAAGCUAGCUUGACUGCGAGCGUGACGGCGCGAGCAGGUGCGAAAGCAGGUCAUAGUGAUCCGGUGGUUCUGAAUGGAAGGGCCAUCGCUCAACGGAUAAAAGGUACUCCGGGGAUAACAGGCUGAUACCGCCCAAGAGUUCAUAUCGACGGCGGUGUUUGGCACCUCGAUGUCGGCUCAUCACAUCCUGGGGCUGAAGUAGGUCCCAAGGGUAUGGCUGUUCGCCAUUUAAAGUGGUACGCGAGCUGGGUUUAGAACGUCGUGAGACAGUUCGGUCCCUAUCUGCCGUGGGCGCUGGAGAAUUGAGGGGGGCUGCUCCUAGUACGAGAGGACCGGAGUGGACGCAUCACUGGUGUUCGGGUUGUCAUGCCAAUGGCACUGCCCGGUAGCUAAAUGCGGAAGAGAUAAGUGCUGAAAGCAUCUAAGCACGAAACUUGCCCCGAGAUGAGUUCUCCCUGAGACUUUAAGUCUCCUGAAGGAACGUU
rnacentral:rRNA from 1 species